CGCGGGCCUCUCAGGUCCCGUCGCAGCGGGACUUUCGAUCUCACUUCCCCGCACCGCGACGUGGGGCCGGGCCUGGCCCGGGCCGGGAGCUUCCCUGGAGCUCCGCCUGCCUGGGCCCGCGGCGGUGUGCUCCACUGCUGUGGUUUGCAGCCUUGGGGCGCUGGGAGACAGUGAUCCCUGUGAGAAGCCCAUGAAAGGUACAAAUUCUCUCCCUAACGGUGCACAGAAUCCUUUUGCCAAAAAGGGCCUAGAAGCAGCUGCCGCUUAUGCAAGGACUGCAGGGAAGACCCGCGGUCACUGGGUCAAACGCUCCGACCUCGCGCGCUCCUGCGAUGGCCCUUCUCCUCUCACCGCGUACCCUCUUCAGAGUUGAAGCAGCCUAAUGAAUUGCCCUGGGACCUGAAGUUCUUCAGCAAUAUUAACAUUUGGCUAGACACCAACACAUAACAGGAGCUGUGUAACCUAUCAGACACCCUCUGCUGGGAAUUCAUAAUACAGACAUCAUUCAAAAGGACAAUAAAGCUAAAUAUGCAAA